rnacentral:rRNA from 1 species
AUUGAACGCUGGCGGCAGGCCUAACACAUGCAAGUCGAGCGAGCGGCGGACGGGUGAGUAAUGUCUGGGAAACUGCCUGUUGUAGGGGGAUAACUACUGGAAACGGUAGCCAAUACCGCAUACCAUCAGAUGUGCCCAGAUGGGAUUGGCUCGUAGGUGGGGUAACGGCGCACCUAGGCGACGAUCCCUAGCUGGUCUGAGAGGAUGACCAGCGACACUGGAAAGGAGACACGGUCCAGACUCCUACGGGAGGCAGCAGUGGGGAAUAUUGCACAUUGGGCACAAGCCUGAUGCAGCCGUGCCGGGUGUGUGAAGAGGGCGUUCGGGUUGUAAAGCACUUUCAGCGGGGAGGCGUUACCCGCAGAAGAAGCGCCGGCUAACUCCGUGCCAGCAGCCGCGGUAAUUC